ACCACCCCGAGCACCAUGUUCAACCCGACGGAGAAACCCUGCCCGGGCCGCGGUGCUGGGGAACAAGGGCCGCUCCGGGUCCCCAAUGGCCGCACCGCAGCGACAGCGCCGUCCUCUCCCGCAGACAACGCCGGAGGCGUCGUGCGGGGCCGGGCCGCGGCACCGACACCAGCGACGGCGGGACCCCUGCCUCAGGGAGGCUUCCCCCUCCGUGAGGCGGCGCCACCGACCGCCAGAGCCUCUCCCUGCCCAGCGGCAGCGGGGCCCACGCACAGACCGGCGGACCGGGAGUCCCUCGGGCUCCAAUGCCGCCUCGUGGAAGAGGGGCUUCCGCGCCGAGCCCCCGCGGGUCCGCCGGCAGCCGCGGGGCUCCGCGCUGCGCGGCUUACCGCAGGUGCCGAGCGCGGGCCGCCAGGGGGCGCCGGAGUGCGCCUGUCCCCGCGGCGGCGGCGGCGGGUGAGUGUGGCCGAGCCGCCCCCGCCAGCCCCCCGCCCCGCCGCCAGCGCUCGGCGGCAGCCAGACCGCCGCGGCACCGCACGGCUGCGCUCUGCUCCGCUCCGCCAGCGGCAGCGGGCCGCCGACAGGACGAGGAUGCUGCGCCUCAGCCGCGGGCGCGGGGCCGGCCGCCCUCGCCGCUGGCAGCGGCCGUGCCCGCUGCUCCUCUUGUCAGCGCUGCUCGGGGCGCCGGCGCUGGUGGCGUUCAACCUGGACGAGGAGAAGCUGACGGUGUACAGCGGGCCCCCGGGCAGCUACUUCGGGUACUCGGUGGACUUCUACAUCCCCGACCCCAGCACGGUCAGUGUCCUGGUGGGAGCUCCUAAAGCAAACACCACGCAGCCGGACAUCGUGGAAGGAGGAGCGGUGUACUACUGCGCCUGGCCCGCCGCCCGCUGCAGGCAGAUUCCCUUUGACAACACCAACAACAGGAAAAUUAAAGUCAAUGGCACCAGGGAACCUAUUGAGUUUAAGACGAAUCAGUGGUUUGGGGCAACAGUCAAAGCUCAUAAAGAAAAAGUUGUGGCUUGUGCUCCCCUAUAUCAUUGGAGAACUCUUAAAGAUACCCCUGAGAAGGACCCUGUUGGCACCUGCUAUGUAGCAAUUCAGAACUUCAGUGCCUAUGCUGAAUAUUCACCUUGUCGCAACAGCAAUGCAGAUCCUGAAGGACAAGGCUUUUGUCAAGCAGGUUUCAGCUUAGAUUUUUACAAGAAUGGAGACCUGAUAGUAGGCGGGCCUGGUAGUUUUUAUUGGCAAGGUCAGGUGAUCACUGCAAGUAUUGCGGACAUCAUUGCAAAUUAUUCUUUCAAGGAUAUUCUGAGGAAACUGGCACGAGAGAAGCAAACAGGAGUGGCACCACCCUCAUAUGAUGACAAUUACAUGGGAUACUCAGUGGCUGCUGGGGAAUUUACUGGAGAUUCUGAACAAGAGCUGGUUGCUGGUGUCCCAAAGGGAGCACAGAACUUUGGCUAUGUCUCAAUUAUUAAUUCUUCAGACCUGACAUUUAUCCAGAACUUCACUGGUGAACAGAUGGCGUCUUAUUUUGGUUACACUGUGGCAGUAUCUGAUGUUAACAAUGAUGGUUUAGAUGAUAUCCUAGUUGGCGCCCCUCUCUUUAUGGAACGAGAAUUUGAAAGCAAACCUAAAGAAGUUGGGCAAGUUUAUCUAUACCUGCAAGAAAGUGCUUUCCUCUUCCGAGAUGCGCAAAUUCUGACAGGCACUGAAGUGUUCGGUAGAUUUGGCAGUGCAAUCACGCACCUUGGAGAUCUCAAUCAAGAUGGAUAUAACGACAUUGCUAUUGGCGCACCAUUUGCAGGAGAAGACAGAAGAGGGAAAGUGUUCAUUUACAAUGGAUACAGUAAUGGGUUAAACCCUAACCCUUCCCAGGUUCUCAAUGGAGCCUGGGCCUCACAGUCCAUGCCCUCAGGAUUUGGCUUCACUCUAAGAGGAGACUCAGAUGUAGACAAGAAUGAUUACCCAGAUUUAAUUGUAGGUGCAUUUGGAGCUGGAAAAGCAGUUGUUUAUAGAGCCAGACCUGUUGUGACAGUGAAUGCUCAGCUCAUUCUGAACCCCAUGAUUGUGAAUCCAGACAAUAAAACUUGUCAGCUCCCUGGCUCUCAGCUUUUGGUGGCCUGCUUUACUGUAAGAGUCUGCGCAGACUUUGAAGGUCAAAGUAUUUCAUAUGAGAUAGUGCUGAAAGGUGAAUUGCAAUUAGAUUCAUUGAAACAGAAAGGAGCUGUCAAGAGGACCCUCUUAUUUGAUUAUCACCAGUCACAUCAUUACUUCUCCAUUGUGAUGGAAAGACAGAAACAGCUCCAUUGCCAGGACUUUCUUGUUUAUCUCAGAGAUGAAACAGAAUUUAGAGAUAAAUUAUCUCCCAUCAGUAUAAACUUGAAUUAUAGUUUGGAUGAAUCCAGUUUUGAAGACAGCUUGACUGUGAAGCCAAUAUUGAACUAUUACCAGAAAAGCUCGUUAACAGAACAGGCUUACAUUCUGGUUGACUGUGGGGAGGACAACUUGUGCAUUCCUGACUUGCAGCUUUCUGCUAUGCCAGAUAAAGAUCAGCUAAUAAUUGGAGAAGAAAACUUUGUCAUGCUCAUAAUAAAUCCAAGGAACGAUGGGGAAGGAGCCUAUGAAGCUGAGCUACAUAUAAGGAUUCCGCCUGAAGCAGAUUACACUGGGGUUGAACGCAACAACAAGGCACUGCGUGUACUGAGCUGUGAUUACAAGAUGGAAAAUGAAACUAGAUUGGUGGUUUGUGAUCUUGGGAACCCCAUGGUGGCUGGCGCAAACUUUUCUACAGGCAUUCGCUUUUCUGUUCAGCAUUUUGAAAAUGCAGAUUUCAGCAUCAAUUUUGAGCUGCAAAUAAAAAGUUCUAACAAGAUUAAUCCCACUAGCAACUUAGUAAACCUCCAUAUCAACAUCAGCGCUAUGGCUCAAGUACAGAUCAGAGGAGUGUCUCACCCCCCAACAAUUAUUUUGCCGCUUCACAACUGGGAACCCAAAGAUGAACCUACAAAAGAAGAAGAAGUUGGUCCUUUAGUAGAACACAUUUAUGAGUUUCAGCUACUAUUUUCAGCUGCACAAUAUAGGACCAAGUGCCAUCAACAAUACAGUUCUCCAUGUCGGUUGGCCUGUGUCCAGUCGAGAAGAAUUUCUUCUUUACGUUCUUCAUAUUCAGACACAUGGACCAUUGCACUGUCAAACGAGCUCUCCUAUUAAUAUAAUGCAAAUAAAGUUUGCUGUUCCACAAGACACUCCUGAACUUGCUGCUUUUUUAUAUAAUUCCACAAUUUCUCAUUACAUCAAGAGAAGGGAUGUCACACUGGCAGAACCUCACAGGAAAAAUACUGCAAAAAUAUUGAACUGUACAAAUGUGAAGUGUGUCUUCAUUUCCUGCACUGUGGGACAACUGGAAAGAGGGAAGAGCGCAGCGCUAAAAAUCAGAUCCCGGCUAUGGGCCCAAACAUUUCUGGAGAGAAAGAACGAUCUCUAUACUCUUUCUUCCAAUGUGUCCUUCGAAGUUAAGAGCAUGCCAUAUAAAGUGCAACCAGCAAAGCUCCCCAAAGAAAGCAUAGCAAUCAGAACAUCUGUCAUUUGGUCCACUCCAAAUGUCUCCUUUGUAAUCCCUUUAUGGGUUAUAAUUCUAGCAAUACUUCUUGGACUACUGGUACUAGCAAUGUUGACCCUAGCUUUAUGGAAGUGUGGCUUCUUUGACAGAGCUAGACCUCCUCAAGAUGACAUGGCUGACAGGGAACAGCUGACAAAUAACAAGACUACUGAUGCAUAGAGGAAGAGAGUGACAGUUCAAGUCAGAAUCCUGCCUGAGACUAGAAACAUGAUGAGGAUUAAAUGAAGGCUUCUUUCCACCAGUCUUCCUUUGUACCUGCAAGUGACGUGGUGUCGUAAACUGAUCUAUGCAACGUUCUGAGAACAUGCCACAUGAUGGCCAUCCUUGCCAAAGAGAGCAGCUUUAUCACUGCCUUACAAACAUACUCACCACUAAACAGAAUGUUUAUCCCAAAUUCCAGUCUACAUUUCAGCAGAUGCUUUUGAACACGUGUGGUAUACUGAGAUGCUUCCAGAACAAGCCCACAUCUCCCAAGGAGAGAACACCUCCAUUGCUGUAUUGUCUAGAAGAUGGACCAGGACAAAACUUCUGAACGCUACUGUAUCAUGCAGAAUACCUUUGACACCUCCCUAAGAAUAAGAACUUUUAUGAAAUUAUGUCUCAGGGAGACAAGCAAUAUAUCAGUACUGUGAAAGUACUUCUGAAAAACAAAGGUAGUCUAUGAAGAACUUUAUAGAUAGGACACAAUAAUUUAUUUUUCCACCUUUUCAGGAUAAGUAUCUGAUAUAAUCAUCAACUUAGAUUUUGAGACAAGAAAGUAAAAAAAUAGAAGUCAUGUACUUACCUUGCCUGUAAAUAGAAAAGUAAGCCCAUUGUACACACAGAACACAUCUUUCUUGGCUAUAAAAUGUUUUGCAAAGUAGAAGAUUUAUGCAGCAUUUUACAAGAUAAGACAUAUGAUAAACAAGUUCAUGUUGUAUCUCUUUCAACCCAAAGCUGGCAGUAUCACACCCAGAUGAAUAAAUCCGUGCACAGUGUAGCACAGGGGGAGAGUUGUCCCCUCAUUGCUGAUGGCUGACAUCUGUGCAGAUGGCAUGGGAUACAGCCCCUUGUGAAACACUGAUUUAAAUUAUCACAGCCACACUGUUAAUCUUAAGAAGGCUUGGGGGUUUUGGGCUAGGAUAAAUUUUCUUUGUUACUAUGUUGAAAUGGCCUCUUAAAAUGUAAUGGCUACUGCCAUUGUAUCUUCUGUUUAAUGUGUGUGGUAGACCCUAAUGCUUUGUUCAUCUAAAGAAAUCAUUGCUCUUUUUUUUUUUCUUUUAUUUUACAGCCUACAAGCUGCCAGCCUAUUUAAAGUGUUUGUUUCAACAAAGUUUAGGGCUGAAUGUAAUUAUUUCUUAAGCAAAGCCUUGCACGGAAGGUGGGCUGUAUUUGUAUUUAUGCAGAAAAACAUUAUGCUAGAAGGCCAAACAUGAACAAAAAGAAGAAAAGUUAUUUUGAGGUAAAGAGCAAAAAUAUACAUUUAGGAUUUAUUUUUUUUUCUGGACUGAGGAUUCCGAAGGAAGAGAGGCUUCAUUCUUUCUCUUCCAUCAGCAAAUGAUCCUUAUCUCAGCAGAGGCUCUAAGCUCUGAUCUGCGCAAAUUUGUGCCAGAAAGCUUGAGUCUUAGAGUGCUAAGAGUGUGGAACUAUGUACAUUGUGUAAACUUCAGGAGGGAUUGUUCAUUUUCUGAAACAAACACCACACUUUCUUUUCCUGAGUUGCUUUUCUUUCCAAUCCAUCUCAGCUUCUUAAUUGGCAAAUGGGCUCAUCCAUUCUGCCACUGCUUGGCUGCCUUUAGAUAGCUGCCCUUCUGCUUCCCAACACUUGGGGACAGGACUAACCAUGAGACAUUGUCCCUUCUGUCAGUCUGGCAGGACAUUUUACAGUUUUACCAUUUCUUGCAUGCAGUCUGAGCUGUGAAAUUGAAGUGGGAUCUAGGGAACUUGGGAAGAUGUGUUCCAUGUUAAUAUCUAAAGCAAAUUUGCAAGAAGACCAUUAUGGAUUCUUUAGCUUUAGGAGUGUCUGCUGCUGAUAAAUAGCACCACAAAGCAAGCCCGUCCCACAUUUGCGCACCUCUGUAUCCCAUACAUUCCUAGCAAAAUCAUUCUCUCAUAAAAAAACAGUGAGCUUCUAGCUUUUGUAAAUAUUGAAUUGUUGUGUGUAGCAGCUUCUCAAAUAAGAUCAGCUAGCUCAUUGCAGUCACAUCAUCUGCACAGCUCCUACUCUGAUGCAAUAGCACCAUAAGAAGAUACUGAACAUAGGACUUUUAUAUGUGCAAUACUUUAUAUUACUUAUAUACCUGAAGCAUGUUUACACUGGCAUUUGUGGUUGUUUUUUGAACUUUUGAAUAUACUGAUUAAUGAUUACAAUAAAGAACAAAGAAUAGGAAAAAGAAAGAAAAAAAAACCAAA